rnacentral:rRNA from 1 species
AAAGAAACCAACAGGGAUUGCCCUAGUAACGGCGAGUGAAGCGGCAACAGCUCAAAUUUGAAAUCUGGCUACUUCGUAGUCCGAGUUGUAAUUUGUAGAGGAUGCUUUUGGUGAAGUGCUUUCUGAGUUCCCUGGAACGGGACGCCAGAGAGGGUGAGAGCCCCGUACAGUUAGCAACUGAUCCUUUGUAUAGCUCCUUCGACGAGUCGAGUAGUUUGGGAAUGCUGCUCUAAAUGGGAGGUAUAUCUCUUCUAAAGCUAAAUAUAGGCUAGAGACCGAUAGCGCACAAGUAGAGUGAUCGAAAGAUGAAAAGCACUUUGAAAAGAGAGUUAAACAGCACGUGAAAUUGUUGAAAGGGAAGCGCCUAUGACCAGACUUGUCUCUAUCAGUUUUGGUAGUUUUCGGACUGCUUUACUCUGUUAGUACAGGCCAACAUCAGUUUGUUGUCGGGGAGAAAGGCUUAGGGAAUGUGGCUCCUUCGGGAGUGUUAUAGCCCUUUGCAUAAUACCCUUCGGCAGACUGAGGACCGCGCUUCGGCAAGGAUGUUGGCGUAAUGGUCAUCAGCGACCCGUCUUGAAACACGGACCAAGGAGUCAACCUUAUAUGCGAGUGUUUGGGUGUAAAACCCCAGCGCGUAAUGAACGUGAACGUAGGUGAGAGCUUCGGCGCAUCAUCGACCGAUUCUGAUGUUCUCGGAUGGAUUUGAGUAAGAGCAUAUAGGGUUGGACCCGAAAGAAGGUGAACUAUGCUUGUAUAGGGUGAAGCCAGAGGAAACUCUGGUGGAGGCUCGCAGCGGUUCUGACGUGCAAAUCGAUCGUCAAAUAUGAGCAUGGGGGCGAAAGACUAAUCGAACCUUCUAGUAGCUGGUUCCAGCCGAAGUUUCCCUCAGGAUAGCAGUGUUGAACUUCAGUUUUAUGAGGUAAAGCGAAUGAUUAGGGACUCGGGGGCGCUAUAUUGCCUUCAUCCAUUCUCAAACUUUAAAUAUGUAAGAAGCUCUUGUUACUUAAUUGAACGUGAGCAUUCGAAUGUAUCAAC